rnacentral:tRNA from 2 species
CAUUAAGAAGCUAUAGGACCGAGCGACAGCCUUUUAAGCUGUAGACAGGUGACUUCCAACCACCCUUAGUGA